GACGAACGCUGGCGGCGUGCUUAACACAUGCAAGUCGAACGGAAAGGCCCUGCUUUUGUGGGGUGCUCGAGUGGCGAACGGGUGAGUAACACGUGAGUAACCUGCCCUUGACUUUGGGAUAACUUCAGGAAACUGGGGCUAAUACCGGAUAGGAGCUCCUGCUGCAUGGUGGGGGUUGGAAAGUUUCGGCGGUUGGGGAUGGACUCGCGGCUUAUCAGCUUGUUGGUGGGGUAGUGGCUUACCAAGGCUUUGACGGGUAGCCAGCCUGAGAGGGUGACCGGCCACAUUGGGACUGAGAUACGGCCCAGACUCCUACGGGAGGCAGCAGUGGGGAAUAUUGCACAAUGGGCGGAAGCCUGAUGCAGCAACGCCGCGUGCGGGAUGACGGCCUUCGGGUUGUAAACCGCUUUCGCCUGUGACGAAGCGUGAGUGACGGUAAUGGGUAAAGAAGCACCGGCUAACUACG
rnacentral:rRNA from 1 species